rnacentral:rRNA from 1 species
GAUGAACGCUAGCGGCAGGCCUAAUACAUGCAAGUCGAACGGUGUAGCAAUACAUAGUGGCGCACGGGUGCGUAACACGUAUGCAACCUACCUUAUACUGGGGGAUAGCCUUUGGAAACGGAGAUUAAUACCCCAUAGUACAUUUAGAUGGCAUCAUCUGAAUGUUAAAGAUUUAUCGGUAUAAGCUGGGCAUGCGUCCAAUUAGUUAGUUGGUGAGGUAACGGCUCACCAAGACUUUGAUUGGUAGGGGAACUGAGAGGUUAAUCCCCCACACUGGCACUGGGAUACGGGCCAGACUCCUACGGGAGGCAGCAGUAGGGAAUAUUGGGCAAUGGAGGCAACUCUGACCCAGCCAUGCCGCGUGCAGGAAGAAGGCGUUAUGCGUUGUAAACUGCUUUUAUAUAGGAAGAAAUAGUCCUUGCGAGGAAAGUUGACGGUACUAUAUGAAUAAGCACCGGCUAACUCCGUGCCAGCCGCCGCCGUAA